rnacentral:tRNA from 1 species
GCCUCGGUAGCUCAGCGGCAGAGCGACGGCUUUGUAAGCCGUAGGUCGGGGGUUCAAUCCCCCCCCGGGGCU